GUCUCCCAGGCUAGUAAGUACUGAGGGCUUCAUCUAUCUAAAAGGAGUCAUUUCCAUCUGAAUGUGGCAGCACCGGGACACAGCAGCAGAGCGAGUCCACAUCCAGAAGGCUGGAGCCGUGUUUCACUGACAGGCUGUCAGACUAACGCCCUGAUGAGCUCAGCUGGGACAAACUGGUCUGAUGUUUAGGAACACAGAACGUUCAGAUGUUGGAGCUUCACGUCACCUACUGAGGAAGGAGACCCACCAGUAAAGAGACGGUAGCUGGACCAGACCAAAAAUAUGGCGAUGACAUCAUGGAACUGGUCAAUGGAAAAGUUUUCCCUGAACCAACUCCGUUUCUAGAUGAGGUAGAGAAGAUCUGCAUCUCACCAACCCUCUGGUCUCAGAGACAACGGAGGUCUCCCACUGUUAUCCAGGACCAGUUUGAAGCCCACAUACUGCCCCUCCCUCAUCAUCAGG